UACCCGCAGCACAGGUGGUGGUCAUUAUUAUUGGGCCUAAAGCGUCCGUAGCUGGCCUGUUAGAUGCCUGGGUAAAUCGAUGCGCUCAACGUAUCGACUUCCGGGUAGACCGGCAGGCUCGAGACCGGGAGAGGUGUAGGCUACUCGCGGGGUAGGGGUAAAAUCCUGUAAUCCUGCGGGGAGGACCAGUGGCGAAGGCGCUACACUAGAACGGCUCUGACAGUGAGGGACGAAGCCCUGGGGCGCAAACCGG
rnacentral:rRNA from 1 species